rnacentral:rRNA from 1 species
AGAGUUUGAUCCUGGCUCAGAGUGAACGCUGGCGGCAGGCCUAAUACAUGCAAGUCGAACGGCAGCACGGCAGAGCUUGCUCUGUGGGUGGCGAGUGGCGGACGGGUGAGGAAUACAUGGGAAUCUGCCCAGUCGUGGGGAUAACGUAGGGAAACUUACGCUAAUACCGCAUGCGCCCUUCGGGGGAAAGCCGGGGACCUUCGGGCCUGGCGCGAUUGGAUGAGCCCAUGUCGGAUUAGCUAGUUGGCGGGGUAAUGGCCCACCAAGGCGACGAUCCGUAGCUGGUCUGAGAGGAUGAUCAGCCACACUGGAACUGAGACACGGUCCAGACUCCUACGGGAGGCAGCAGUAGGGAAUAUUGGACAAUGGGCGCAAGCCUGAUCCAGCCAUGCCGCGUGAGUGAAGAAGGCCCUCGGGUUGUAAAGCUCUUUUGUCCGGAAAGAAAAGCGCCGGGUUAAUACCCUGGUGUCCUGACGGUACCGGAAGAAUAAGCACCGGCUAACUUCGUG